AAAACUUUAGGCCCAAUCCCUAAAACUAUAAAUGCAUCUCAUCUUCCACACAAGUAACCCUAGCCCCCUUCUACCCUUUCACUCAAACCUCUGCAUCUCUACACUCCGGCAACCAGAGCCGAAGUCCGGCGAGCUCCGACGACCCCCCUUCUCUCCGCUCAAGAACCACCAUCACCCUCCCCCUCCCUCGUUUUCAUUUUCUCACCAACCGCAUGAAGAAAAGUCAUACAAUGCUCGUUCACCGGAGCUCGUUAGAGAUCGAAGUUCACGACGGAGCUGUUUGGCCAUGUUUCGCUUGCCGAGCACGUAGCCGAAAACACCUUCCUUGCACCUCGUCGGAUAUCUAAGCUCACCGGAGCCGCCCGAGGUUCGCGACGAAAACACGUCAUCGCCACAGUCUCAUUCGAACCCCUUCACAUUCACCGGAGAUUGCCGGAGGACCCGUACUCACGUCGGAGACGUCCGAAGUCACAACGGGAACCACGCCACGUAUCGUUCGGAUAACUAUUUCGUUUGUUCUAUUGGAUUCUCUCCAUCUUUACUCGUGCGAUACUUCAAGGAACUCUUAUACGCAAUCAAUGUUCAUUGAAAUUAACCUGGUCACAAGCAUGUUUGCUUGGUAAACAACGCCCGACGUUCGAUGCAAUGAUUCCGCUCUAAUUAGUGCAGUUUCACUAUUGUUAAGAUAUGGAAAGUAUUGUGGGAUACUAUAAAGUGGAUGCCCAAUAGAGAAGCCUUGUGAUGAACUUGAUGCAAGUUGUAUGAAGCAUGAUGCCUUGCAUUUUAGCAAACAAUAAAAUUAAGGUUCCAACUGCCAUAUUAGAAGGCAAGCUUGACCAGUUACACUCACAAGAAGAAGUCAAACAUGGAACCUUAAUUAGAAAAUCAAGAAAUUGAGAGCUUUGUGAAGAUAUUCAAAGGUGUUGGUCAUGGAUGGGCUUCAAGAUAUAGCGAGGAUAAUGAAUCUGUUGAGAGGAGUGCUGAGGUGGCCAAGCAUGUGAUUUUUUAAGCGGGUCGAGUGGUUAUUUUUCUUAUCUCACUUAUGAAGGUGUAACAUUAUAUACUUGAAGCCAAGAACCUUACACUCUCAUUCAUCAUUGUAAAGCAUUGUGCUUUGGAGUAGAAUGACGAGUUAGCUUCUGAAGUUGGAGACUUUACUUGAUGAUAGCAUGGGGCAAAAUGUCGAGUUGGAAUUUGAAAGGAGUGGCACGUCUUUGACCGUUCAGUUGGUGGUGAGUGACCGACCUUUACAUCCAGGUUAUAUGCUUUACAUUUAUCAUGUGUUCUUUGUUUCAGGCUGAAGACUUACACUCAAUAACUCUUUCGGAGUUAGGAGUGGCACGUCUUUGUGAUGUACAUUUUAGAUGUGAGAUUUUUAACCUGUUUACCUACAAAAGUGUUGACUUAAGUUACGUUGUAUGUCUAAUUAGUUUAACGGUUUCAGGUAAAACCUUUAACCGAAUAGGAAACCAUUUGAAAGUCUCUAUAAGAGUACACCUAGCUGAGUAGCCGUAGAAUAAUCAUUUUUGUUACUUGAACGAUUUGAUAAACUUAUCUCUAUUUUUUUAUUGCCAGCAAACUUGAUCAGAUAUUAAUGGUACGUUGUCAAUUCAUAGGCAAGUGCUAAGUGAUAUGGUGGGUUUACUUUAUGAAAUUUAUAUUUUUCAAUUUGUUGUUAUGAUCCUUGUGUUGGGCGUUGUUUGGCAGCGGAGCCGCCAAUGAAGGCGGAUGACCAUACAUGACAGAACUAUAUCAGCCUUAGAAGGACAUGCUAAAGAAUGCAAAUAAUCAAGGAACAACCAUCCUCUAUAAUCUGAAGGUAGAUUAUACUUUGGGAGAUUUUGAGGUAAUUUUAUGGAGCUACACAUAUUGGUGGUUGUUUAGGGGAGUUAACGGGCUCUCAUAUUCAUCGCUUUUCAUGGAGAAGGUAUAUAUCCGGCAACCCUUAGAUGUGAAGCCCAACUUUGGAAAGGUCUAGAACAAAAAUGAUGAUUUACAUGGGCUUCAAUGCCGGUUAUUGGACUUGGGUUUGACUUGAAUGAUGGCUAGAAGCUUGAAGUUUGUUGCUGAUGCGUAUGAAAGUCGAUAGAGUUUUGAAGAUUGAUGUUUUUUGUUUGAACUGUAUUUAGUCUUGAUUUUGGUUGUUUUCGUUUAUUUUUUGUUUGGAUUUUGAAUAGGUUUUAUGUUUGUAAUACUUGGGUUGUGUGUGGUCGCGAGUAGAGUUAGAAGUAGUAAUUGUUAUUUGUUAGAGUGGUUGGGGUAGGGGUUUGUUAAAACCUGUUCUGUAAGGCCUUAGGCAUUUUUGAGGUUGGUGUUCUUGGGAUAUGUCUCGGAAGACCCAAUGCUCUUUAGGUGUAACUAUUAUUUUUUAAUUUUAUUAAUAAAGUUUUGACGGGGUGCCGUCCCCGUUUAGAAAAACAAAA